GACGAACGCUGGCGGCGUGCCUAAUACAUGCAAGUAGGACGCAGUUGCGAACGGGUGAGUAACGCGUAGGUAACCGCCUCUUAGAGGGGGUUAAAUAUUGGAAACGCUAGAUACUACCGCAUACUAGUAGAUGGACCUGCGUUGUAUUAGCUAGUCGGGAGGGUAAUGGCCUACCUAGGCGACGAUACAUACCCGAACUGAGAGGGGGAUUGGCCACACUGGGACUGAGACAAGGCCCAGACGCCGACGGGAGGCAGCAGUAGGGAAUCUUCGGCAAUGGGGGGAAACCUGACCGGGCAACGCCGCGUGAGUGAAGAAGGUUUUCGGAUCGUAAAGCUCUGGUGUUAAGGAAGCGGUACUUAACCAGAAAGGGACGGCUAACUACGUGCCAGCAGCCGCGGUAAUUC
rnacentral:rRNA from 1 species